rnacentral:rRNA from 1 species
AGAGUUUGAUCAUGGCUCAGGAUUAACGCUGGCGGCAUGCCUAAUACAUGCAAGUCGAACGGUAACAGGAAUAGCUUGCUAUUUGCUGACGAGUGGCGGACGGGUGAGUGAUGUAUAGGAACUUGCCUAGUAGUGGGGGACAACCUGUGGAAACGCAGGCUAAUACCGCAUACGCUCUACGGAGGAAAGUGGGGGAUCUUUCGGGACCUCACGCUACUAGAUAGGCCUAUAUUGGAUUAGCUAGUUGGUAAGGUAAAGGCUUACCAAGGCGACGAUCCAUAGCUGGUUUGAGAGAAUGAUCAGCCACACUGGGACUGAGACACGGCCCAGACUCCUACGGGAGGCAGCAGUGGGGAAUAUUGCACAAUGGAGGAAACUCUGAUGCAGCAAUGCCGCGUGUGUGAAGAAGGCCUUAGGGUUGUAAAGCACUUUCAAUGGGGAGGAAAAGUAAUAAGUUAAUAACUUAUUACCGUGACGUUACCUAUAGAAGAAGGACCGGCUAACUCCGUGCCAGCAGCCGCGGUAAUACGGAGGGUCCGAGCGUUAAUCGGAAUUACUGGGCGUAAAGCGCGCGUAGGCGGUUUACCAAGUCAGAUGUGAAAGCCCUGGGCUCAACCUAGGAACUGCAUUUGAAACUGGUAGGCUAGAGUAUGGUAGAGGUGAGUGGAAUUUCAGGUGUAGCGGUGAAAUGCGUAGAGAUCUGAAGGAACAUCAGUGGCGAANGCGACUCACUGGGCCAUUACUGACGCUGAGGUGCGAAAGCGUGGGUAGCAAACAGGAUUAGAUACCCUGNUAGUCCACGCCCUAAACGAUGUCAACUANGUGUGUGAAGAUAUAAUCUUUGCGUAUC